UCUCUGCCGCUACACUCUCCCUAUUCAAACACCACAAGUGACAAACUCAUCAAGCCAUAAUAAUGUCGCAAAAACCACCACUAAACAUAUGCAAACCAUUUACCCUUGUGUAAGAACAUAGUUUGGCCCCUAUGCAAACUUGUUAAAAACUAGUGUGGCAUACCUACUGCCUAUAAAUGAUCAUUUACCAAUUCUACCAAAAAUGAAAGAGUCAGAAAGAAACUCCCCUAUGACUAGCCAAAGAUGAAGAUAUAUUUAAGAACAGGAGGAGUCCCUCGAGGAGGACUAGUGUGAGAAACCAUACCGCCUAUUUCAAAUCAUUUACACAGCGGAGACUUUACAAAACUAGCAGAAGAGAAACCUUAUUUAAAACAAAAGUCCCAAGACCACUAGUAUCAUUUGUAGUGAGAGGCUAAACUCUAAAGACAGA